rnacentral:rRNA from 1 species
AGAAUCAACGCUGGCGGCGUGCCUAACACAUGCAAGUCGAACGAGAAAGUGGAGCAAUCCAUGAGUAAAGUGGCGCACGGGUGAGUAACACGUGACUAACCUACCCUUGAGUGGGGGAUAACUUCGGGAAACCGAGGCUAAUACCGCAUAAUACCUACGGGUCAAAGGAGCAAUUCGCUUUAGGAGGGGGUCGCGGUCGAUUAGUUAGUUGGCGGGGUAAUGGCCCACCAAGACUGUGAUCGAUAUCCGGCCUGAGAGGGCGCACGGACACACUGGAACUGAAACACGGUCCAGACUCCUACGGGAGGCAGCAGUGGGGAAUCUUGCGCAAUGGGGGAAACCCUGACGCAGCAACGCCGCGUGGAGGAUGAAGUCCCUUGGGACGUAAACUCCUUUCGAUCGGGACGAUUAUGACUGUACCGGAAGAAGAAGCCCGGCUAACUUCGCGCCAGCAGCCGC